rnacentral:rRNA from 1 species
AGUUUGAUCCUGGCUCAGGACGAACGCUGGCGGCGCGCCUAACACAUGCAAGUCGAACGGAGCUUAGAGAGCUUGCUUUUUAAGCUUAGUGGCGAACGGGUGAUAACCGGGAGACACCCUCCCUAAGGGGGGGCACACGUUGGAAACGGUUUUUAUACCCGCAUAACGCCCCGGUCCCCCAUGCCCUGGGAGAAAAGGAUUUUUCGCUUUGAGAGGAACUCGGUCCAAUUAAGUUAGUGGGGGAGUAACGGCCCACCAAGGCGACGGUUGGUACCCGGAUUGAGAGGUUGAACGGCCACAUUGGGAUUGAGCCCCGGCCCAGAUUCCUACGGGAGGCAGCAGUGGGGAUAUUGCACAAUGGGGGAAACCCUGAUGCAGCGACGCCGCGUGGAGGAAGAAGGUUUUCGGAUUGUAAACUCCUGUCGUUAGGGACGAUAAUGACGGUACCUAACAAGAAAGCACCGGCUAACUACGUGCCAGCAGCCGCGGUAAAACGUAGGGUGCAAGCGUUGUCCGGAAUUACUGGGUGUAAAGGGAGCGCAGGCGGGAAGACAAGUUGGAAGUGAAAACCAUGGGCUCAACCCAUGAAUUGCUUUCAAAACUGUUUUUCUUGAGUAGUGCAGAGGUAGAUGGAAUUCCCGGUGUAGCGGUGGAAUGCGUAGAUAUCGGGAGGAACACCAGUGGCGAAGGCGGUCUACUGGGCACCAACUGACGCUGAGGCUCGAAAGCAUGGGUAGCAAACAGGAUUAGAUACCCUGGUAGUCCAUGCCGUAAACGAUGAUUACUAGGUGUUGGGGGAUUGACCCCCUCAGUGCCGCAGUUAACACAAUAAGUAAUCCACCUGGGGAGUACGACCGCAAGGUUGAAACUCAAAGGAAUUGACGGGGGCCCGCACAAGCAGUGGAGUAUGUGGUUUAAUUCGAAGCAACGCGAAGAACCUUACCAGGUCUUGACAUCCGAUGCAUAGCACAGAGAUGUGUGAAAUCCUUCGGGACAUCGAGACAGGUGGUGCAUGGUUGUCGUCAGCUCGUGUCGUGAGAUGUUGGGUUAAGUCCCGCAACGAGCGCAACCCUUAUUGCCAGUUACUACGUUAAGAGGACUCUGGCGAGACUGCCGUUGACAAAACGGAGGAAGGUGGGGAUGACGUCAAAUCAUCAUGCCCUUUAUGACCUGGGCUACACACGUACUACAAUGGCGUUAAACAAAGAGAAGCAAGACCGCGAGGUGGAGCAAAACUCAAAAACAACGUCUCAGUUCAGAUUGCAGGCUGCAACUCGCCUGCAUGAAGUCGGAAUUGCUAGUAAUCGCGGAUCAGCAUGCCGCGGUGAAUACGUUCCCGGGCCUUGUACACACCGCCCGUC